CCACUGCCGGUUGUAUGUCCAACUCGAUGCUGAAUCAAAUUCAGAACGCGGCCGAGAUCCCUUCCACUU
rnacentral:rRNA from 1 species